rnacentral:rRNA from 1 species
AAUAUUGGACAAUGGUGGCAACCCUGAUCCAGCCAUGCCGCGUGUGUGAAGAAUGUCUCCGGAUUGUAAAGUACUUUAAGUUGGGAGGAAGGGCCUUCGGUUAAUACGCUGACGAUUUCACGUUACCAACAGAAUAAGCACCGGCUAACUCUGUACCAGCAGCCGCGGUAAUACAGCGGGUGCAAGCGUUAAUCGGAAUUACUGGGCGUAAAGCGCGCGUAGGUGGUUCAGUAAGAUGGGUGUGAAAUCCCCGGGCUUAACCUGGGAACUGCUUUCAUAACUGCUGAGCUAGAGUACGGUAGAGGGUAGUGGAAUUUCCUGUGUAGCGGUGAAAUGCGUAGAUAUAGGAAGGAACACCAGUGGCGAAGGCGACUACCUGGACUGAUACUGACACUGAGGUGCGAAAGCGUGGGGAGCAAACA